AUUGAACGCUGGCGGCAGGCCUACUACAUGCAAGUCGAGCGGGCGGCGGACGGGUGAGUAAUGUAUGGGGACUGCCCGAUAGAGGGGGAUAACUACUGGAAACGGUGGCUAAUACCGCAUACUAUCGGAUAACCCAUAUGGGAUUAGCUAGUAGGUGGGGUAAAGGCUCCACUAGGCGACGAUCUCUAGCUGGUCUGAGAGGAUGAUCAGCAACACUGGGAAUGAGACACGGCCCAGAAUCCGACGGAGGCAGCAGUGGGGAAAAUUGCACAAUGGGCGAAAGCCUGAUGCAGCCAUGCCGCGUGUAUGAAGAAGGCCUUAGGGUUGUAAAGUACUUUCAGCGGAGAGGCGUUACCCGCAGAAGAAGCACCGACUAACUCCGUGCCAGCCGCCGGGGUAAUAC
rnacentral:rRNA from 1 species